UGUACUCUCUGCUAUCUAAAAAACUUUUGAAACCUCUCCUCUAGAAAAAUUCUCAAUUCAAAAAAUAUUGUAUAGCUGAGUGGAAUGUCAUUUUCAUCAGUGGCACGCCAUUCUUUCCCAACUGUAGACCUUUUGAAUUUUUAGCAAAAGACGUAGGAACUUUGAAAUUUUCUUUGCCACUUGUUAUACUUUAGAAUAGCCAGAAGUUUUUCGAUCAAAUGUGUACCUUUCUCAAGGAUAAUUUAGAUUUUUUGCUCCCAAAAAUUUUUCUAUUUAAGGAAUGAGUUUCAUUUGGUUUAAGCAGAAAUUUACAACCUGUGUACUCUCUGCUAUCUAAAAAACUUUUGAAACCUCUUCUCUAGAAAAAUUCUCAAUCCAAAAAAUAUUGUAUAGCUGAGUGGAAUGUCAUUUUCAUCAGUGGCACGCCAUAAUCUUGAUACAUGAUAAAUAUUUUUAAUAAUGCAGAACAAGACAAAUGUGCCAGCAGAAAAGAAGAAAAAAUGAAAGAUUCUCUCAAAGUGGCGAUAAAAGUUUACUAUUUAACUUUAGACUUUUUC
rnacentral:lncRNA from 1 species